GACGAACGCUGGCGGCGUGCUUAACACAUGCAAGUCGAACGGCAAGGCCCUGCUUUUUUGGUGUUCUCGAUUGGCGAACGGGUGAGUAACACGUGAGUAACCUGCCCUUGACUUUGGGAUAGCUUCAGGAAACUGGGGCUAAUCCCGUAUAGCAUCUCCUGCUGCAUUGUGGGGGUUGGAAAUUUUAGGCUGUUGGGGAUGGACUCGCGGCUUAUCGGCUUGUUGGUGGGCUAGUGGCUUACCAAGGCUUUGACGGGUAGCCGGCCUGAGAGGGUGACCGGCCACCUUGGGACUGCGAUAGGGACCAGACUGCAAUGGGAGGCAGUAGUGGGAAACCUUGCACAAUGGGAGGAAGCCUGAUGCAGAAACGCCGCGUGCGGGAUGACGGCCUUCGGGUUGUAAAACGCUUUAGGCUGUGACGAAGCGUGAGUGACGGUAAUGGGUAAAGAAGCACCGGCUAACUUCGUG
rnacentral:rRNA from 1 species